rnacentral:lncRNA from 10 species
CUAAGAUAUAGGGUGGUGGUGGGCCCUGGCCUGGGUGGGGGUUCUCCAGCUAGGAUGUGGGUGGUAGUAGGCCCAGGCCUCGGGGGCUUCAGCUAGGAUGUGGGUGGUGGUAGGCCCAGGCCUGGGGAUCUCCAGCUAGGAUGUAGGGUAGUGGUGGGCCCAGGCCUCGGGGGCUUCAGCUAGGAUGUAGGGCAGUGGUGGGCCUAGGCCUGGGGGUCUCUAGCUAGGAUGUGGGGUGGUGGUAGACCGAGGCCUUGGAGGUGCUCCAGGCAGGGCCACAGCUGAUUUGUCUGGGAAGGGAGGGGGCUUGUUUGGAGGGCUGGAGUAGACAGCAGCCAGGAGGAACUUCCUUUGGUAGUGGGAGGCCCCUCCAAAAGCACGCCUGCGAAGGCCCUAGGGCACCAGGGGACAUGGGAGCAUUCUUUGCUGUGCUCAGAGAGGGGGACAUGGGAGAACUGGGGCCAGGUGGGCUUAAUUUUCUGGAUCCUGUGGCCCCUUGGGUUGGAUCGGGCUGGGGUCUCAGGCAGAGCUGUUUCUGCACUGAGGCAGGGACUGCAGGCCAGUGACGGAGUGAUCUUGUGUGACUCCAUGCUCUCAGAGUCUUGCUGGAAACCCCCCUGGCUCUCAGACCCUCUUCUGUGAACCAGAAGUCUCUAUCCUGCCUUCUGCUGAGGGUCACAGGAUAAGUAUCCAUAGGUGUAACUCACACACCAGCACUUUGCAAGGUGUCCCCCCACCCACACAGAAGAGUUCCUCUGUGCCCGCAGGCAGGAGCAGCCCCCCACAUACACACACAGUACAUUCAUUCAUUCACUCACACAGUACUUUCAUUCAUCCACCCAUUCAAAUAGUACAUUCAUUCAUUCACUCACUCACACAGUACAUUCAUUCAUCCAUUCACACAGUACAUUCAUGCAAUCAUCCACACAGUACAUUGAUUCACACAGUACAUUCAUUCACUAAUUCACUCACACAGUACAUUCAUUCAAGCAUCCAUUCACACAGUACAUUCAUGCAGUCAUCCACACAGUACAUUCAUUCACUAAUUCACUCACACAGUACAUUCAUUCAAUCAUCCAUUCACACAGUACAUUCAUGCAAUCAUCCACACAGUACAUUGAUUCACACAGUACAUUCAUGCACUAAUUCACUCACACAGUACAUUCAUUCAAUCAUCCAUUCAUACAGUACAUUCAUGCAAUCAUCCACAGUUCAUUCAUUCAUUCACACAGUUCAUUCACACACUUCAUUCAUUCAUUCACACACUUCAUUCAUUCAUUCACACCAUUCAUUCAUUCAUUAACCACAAGGUGAGUAUUCCUUGCAUCUCAGAGAUGGGGACAAAGGAGUGACCCCACUAGGCCCAAGGUUGCAGGGGGCUGGGGUGGAGUGGAUACAUUUUGUAGAUUGGAUUCUCUUAUUCAGUAAAGUGUUUAGUGAAUUGGUUGACAGCAAUGCCAGGGUCCUCUGAGGACAGGGCCUUCCUGGAGGUCACUUGAGCCACUUGCCCCAAGGUGGUUUUCAGGAGAGUGUGGCUCAAGGCUGUGGCUGGAGCCAGUGGCUGCUGCCUGUCUGCAGCUGGGCAGAGCAGCCCCUGUGUCCACAUCCAGCUCCACCUGGCUGCCCUGCCACGGCCCCAGCAGGCACCCCCUUGUCUUUGACACCCCCUUAGUGCCUGCUGUGGUUGGGUAAGUGUAGACCACAGUGUGAGUAAUCAGCGCCCACACUCCCAGGGUGUUGGCAAUGUUUAAAAGUUGUCUUAACCAAAAUGUGUUGCUAAGGUUGGACUUUUGGACAACCGCAGGUGCUGUGAAGCUCCUUUCCCAGUCAGGCAUCGGGGGUGGAGUCUGUGCUGCUUAAAUUGGAUCUGAGCAGGCGGGUGUGGGGUUUCCAUGGGUUUGUUUGUGAGCCGCGUGGAGCAGACGGCAUACAGGAAUGCCUGGCGAGCCUCCCCUAACUGCCACCCUGCUCUGUUUCGCCUCAGGCUGUGGCCCUGCCCCGGGCCCCAGAACCCAAGAUCCCUUCAGGGGGCAGGGGUCCCAGCUGAGAAGGGAGAGGCCUUCUUUACCUUUCUGCAUGGGUUCUGGCAUGGGGGCCCUCAGGGUCUGGCAUGUCAACG